rnacentral:rRNA from 1 species
AUUGAACGCUGGCGGCAUGCUUUACACAUGCAAGUCGAACGGCAGCACGGGGGCAACCCUGGUGGCGAGUGGCGAACGGGUGAGUAAUAUAUCGGAACGUACCCGGAAAUGGGGGAUAACGUAGCGAAAGUUACGCUAAUACCGCAUAUGCCCUAAGGGGGAAAGCGGGGGACUCGCAAGAACCUCGCGUUUUCGGAGCGGCCGAUAUCGGAUUAGCUAGUAGGUGAGGUAAAGGCUCACCUAGGCGACGAUCCGUAGCUGGUCUGAGAGGACGACCAGCCACACUGGAACUGAGACACGGUCCAGACUCCUACGGGAGGCAGCAGUGGGGAAUUUUGGACAAUGGGCGCAAGCCUGAUCCAGCCAUGCCGCGUGAGUGAAGAAGGCCUUCGGUUGUAAAGGUCUCUUUCUAGCCGGAAAGAAAACGACACGGGUUAAUAACCUAGUGUGGAUGACGGUACCGGAAGAAGAAG